ensembl:snRNA U1 U1 spliceosomal RNA
AUACUUACCUGGCAGGGGUGACACCAUGAUCAAGAAGGUGGUUUGCCCAAGGCGAGGCUCUGUCAUUGCACCCUGACCGUGCUGACCCUUGUGAAUGGCGAUGCGCUGGACAGAAGUGCAAUUGAGACGUGUUAGGAUUGGCCAACCCUUGA